UGAAAUCAAUGGCAAUUUCAAGCUUGGAGUGAUCCAGAUUGCAUUGAGGGUAAGUGGCAAUAAUCCAAUGAUUCUGGAGAGUCUAUAAGCUUCAUUUCAAUUUGUCCACACUAUCACAUCAAGAGAACAUGGGAUUAUGUUCAUAAAUCAUAGAACACGUGUAAAAGGGAGAAGGGUCUGCGACCUCCAUUCCAAGUCUGAACAAGUGGCAUUUGCAAGUAUGAAUGCAAUUUUUCAAGACUUAGCAGUCAAUCAAAU
rnacentral:lncRNA from 1 species